rnacentral:tRNA from 1 species
UGGGCCGAGCUGGAUUUGAACCCAGCCGUAGACAUAUCGUCAACGAAUUUACAGUCCGUCCCCAUUAACCGCUCGGGCAUCGACCCA